rnacentral:rRNA from 1 species
GACGAACGCUGGCGGCGUGCUUAACACAUGCAAGUCGAACGAUGAUCUCCCGCUUGCGGGGGUGAUUAGUGGCGAACGGGUGAGUAAUACGUGAGUAACCUGCCCUUGACUCUGGGAUAAGCCUGGGAAACCGGGUCUAAUACUGGAUACUACUUCCUGCCACAUGGUGGGGGGGGGAAAGGGUUUUACUGGUUUUGGUUGGGCUAACGGCCUACCAGCUUGUUGGUGGAGUAUUGGCUCACCAAGGCGACGACGGGUAGCCGGCCUGAGAGGGUGACCGGCCACACUGGGACUGAGACACGGCCCAGACUCCUACGGGAGGCAGCAGUGGGGAAGAUUGCACAAUGGGCGGAAGCCUGAUGCAGCGACGCCGCGUGAGGGAUGACGGCCUUCGGGUUGGAAACCUCUUUCAGCAGGGAAGAAGCCACAAGUGACGGUACCUGCAGAAGAAGCGCCGGCUAACUACGUG